UUUAGUGAAUCAGACUACAAACGCUACAGCUAGCAACCAACCGGGGUCACACCAAGCGACUGAAAAUCGGGUCUGUACCCUCCCGUUUCCAGUGGAACAACUGGGGACUGCCAAGAAGGGGGUCUGUUUAUAAAAGAGCAUCAACUCGCUUAGGCCAUGACGUUCACCCAGCCCUUCCUCUGGAGCAACCGCUGCCCUGUGAAUAAGAGCCGAUGGAGGAGAUCUCAGCUUCGGUGGUGAUGACAGAACAUGAUUUCGGUUCUGCUCCUAAACCAGGUUUCUGCAGGCCUGCAAGAGAAGGUGCUGGCUGACAUGUUUCAGAGCUGACUGAACGAAGUGGACUGCUGGAUUUACUGGAGCCAGGAGAUGGCUGCAUGGCAGACAAGGGUUUCACCAUCGAGAAGCCACUAGCUGAUCGUGGGGCAACGCUGAUUAUACCACCCUUCAAGAUGACAGUUCACUGAAGAGGAUGCUCUGAAAACACAAGCAAUCGCUCGACUUCGAAUCCUUGUAGAAAGAGCAAUAGGCAGAGUCAAGGAAUACCGCA